UACGUAGGUGGCAAGCGUUGUCCGGAAUUAUUGGGCGUAAAGCGCGCGCAGGUGGUUUCUUAAGUCUGAUGUGAAAGCCCACGGCUCAACCGUGGAGGGUCAUUGGAAACUGGGGAACUUGAGUGCAGGAGAGAAGAGUGGAAUUCCACGUGUAGCGGUGAAAUGCGUAGAGAUGUGGAGGAACACCAGUGGCGAAGUCGACUCUUUGGUCUGUAACUGACGCUGAGGCGCGAAAGCGUGGGGAGCAAACAGG
rnacentral:rRNA from 1 species